GGCUCUUUGGUUAGUUCAUAUAAAGAGUCAAGCCUGCCCAGUGAUAUAUAUUUAACGGCCGCGGUACUCUGACCGUGCAAAGGUAGCAUAAUCAUUUGCCUUAUAAUUGAAGGCUAGUAUGAAUGGUUUGACGAAAACAAAACUGUCUCUUUUUAAUUUUCUAGAACUUGAUUUUUAGGUGAAGAAGCCCAAAUAUAAUUGAAAGACAAGAAGACCCUAUCGAGCUUUAAAAAAUUUUAUUAAAAUAAAGUAGUUAUAAAAACUAAUUAUAAUAAAAAAUUUUAGUUGGGGCGACUAAGGAACAAAAAAGCUUCCAGCUUUAUAUUAAUAACAUAUAAGUUUUGAUCCAAAAUUUUUGAUUAAAAGAAUUAGUUACCGUAGGGAUAACAGCAUAAUCUUUUUUGAGAGCUCUUAUCGAAAAAAAGGUUUGUGACCUCGAUGUUGGACUAGAAUAUCCUAAAUGGCGCAGAAGUCUUUGAGGGUUGGUCUGUUCGACCACUAAUAUUCUACGUGAUCUGAGUUCAGACCGG
rnacentral:rRNA from 1 species